GGCAAAGUUAAUAAGGGCGCACGGUGGAUGCCUUGGCACUAAGAGCCGAUGAAGGACGUGACUAACGACGAUAUUCUAGGGGGAGCAGUAAGUACGCAUUGAUCCCUAGGUCUCCGAAUGGGGAAACCCAGCUGCUACUAGCAGUUAUUCAUGAGUGAAUACAUAGCUCAUGUAAAGGUAACGCAGAGAACUGAAACAUCUAAGUACCUGCAGGAAGAGAAAGUAAAAACGAUUUCGUAAGUAGCGGCGAGCGAACGCGAAGAAGGGCAAACCAAGAAGCUUGCUUCUUNNNNNNNNNNNNNNNNNNNNNNNNNNNNNNNNNNNNNNNNNNNNNNNNNNNNNNNNNNNNNNNNNNNNNNNNNNNNNNNNNNNNNNNNNNNNNNNNCCUGGGGUUGUAGGACUGCAACGUGGACUUAAGCAUUAUAGUCGAAUAACCUGGGAAGGUUAAUCAAAGAGGGUAAUAAUCCCGUAGACGAAAUAGCGCUUAUACCUAGCAGUAUCCUGAGUAGGGCUGGACACGCGAAAUCCAGUUUGAAUCCGGGAGGACCAUCUCCCAACCCUAAAUACUCCUUAGUGACCGAUAGUGAACCAGUACCGUGAGGGAAAGGUGAAAAGAACCCCGAGAGGGGAGUGAAAUAGCACCUGAAACCGUGUGCCUACAAGAAGUUCGAGCCCGUUAAUGGGUGAGAGCGUGCCUUUUGUAGAAUGAACCGGCGAGUUACGUUAUGAUGCGAGGUUAAGUUGAAGAGACGGAGCCGUAGGGAAACCGAGUCUGAAUAGGGCGACUUAGUAUCAUGAUGUAGACCCGAAACCUAGUGACCUAUCCAUGAGCAGGGUGAAGGUGUGGUAAGACGCACUGGAGGCCCGAACCAGGACACGUUGAAAAGUGUUUGGAUGACUUGUGGAUAGCGGAGAAAUUCCAAACGAACUGGGAGAUAGCUGGUUCUCUCCGAAAUAGCUUUAGGGCUAGCGUCGAAAUGUAAGUGUAUUGGAGGUAGAGCACUGUUUGGGUGAGGGGUCCGUCUAGGAUUACCAAUCUCAGAUAAACUCCGAAUGCUAAUACACAUGUUCGGCAGUCAGACUGCGAGUGCUAAGAUCCGUAGUCGAAAGGGAAACAGCCCAGACCAACAGCUAAGGUCCCAAAAUAUAUGUUAAGUGGAAAAGGAUGUGGGGUUGCACAGACAACUAGGAUGUUAGCUCAGAAGCAGCUAUCAUUCAAAGAGUGCGUAAUAGCUCACUAGUCGAGUGACCCUGCGCCGAAAAUGUACCGGGGCUAAACAUAUUACCGAAGCUUUGGAUUGAUAUUUUAUCAAUGGUAGGAGAGCGUUCUUAACCGCGAUGAAGGUAUACCGUGAGGAGUGCUGGAGCGUUAAGAAGUGAGAAUGCCGGUAUGAGUAGCGCAAGAUAAGUGAGAAUCUUAUCCACCGUAAGACUAAGGUUUCCAGGGGAAGGCUCGUCCGCCCUGGGUUAGUCGGGACCUAAGGCGAGGCCGAAAGGCGUAGUCGAUGGACAACUGGUUGAUAUUCCAGUACUAGAUAUGAUCGUGAUGGAGGGACGCAGUAGGCUAAGAGAUGCCAGUUAAUGGAUUCUGGUCUAAGCAGUGAGGUGUGAGAUGUGUCAAAUGCAUUUCUCUUUAACAUUGAGCUGUGAUGGGGAAGCAACUACGGUUGCGAACUCUCUGAUGUCACACUGCCAAGAAAAGCUUCUAGCGUAAAGUCAUAUCUACCCGUACCGCAAACCGACACAGGUAGUCGAGGCGAGUAGCCUCAGGUGAUCGAGAGAACUCUCGUUAAGGAACUCGGCAAAAUAGCCCCGUAACUUCGGGAGAAGGGGUGCUGGUGUAAAAGCCAGCCGCAGUGAAUAGGCCCAAGCAACUGUUUAUCAAAAACACAGCUCUCUGCUAAACCGCAAGGUGAUGUAUAGGGGGUGACGCCUGCCCGGUGCUGGAAGGUUAAGAGGAGUGCUUAGACGUAAGUCGAAGGUAUGAAUUGAAGCCCCAGUAAACGGCGGCCGUAACUAUAACGGUCCUAAGGUAGCGAAAUUCCUUGUCGGGUAAGUUCCGACCCGCACGAAAGGCGUAAUGAUUUGGGCACUGUCUCAACGAGAGACUCGGUGAAAUUUUAGUACCUGUGAAGAUGCAGGUUACCCGCGACAGGACGGAAAGACCCCAUGGAGCUUUACUGUAGUUUGAUAUUGAGUACCUGUAAGUCAUGUACAGGAUAGGUAGGAGCCAUUGAAAUAGGGACGCUAGUUUCUAUUGAGGCGUUGUUGGGAUACUACCCUUGACUUAUGGUUACUCUAACCCGCUGGCAUAAUCGGCCAGGGAGACAGUGUCUGACGGACAGUUUGACUGGGGCGGUCGCCUCCUAAAGAGUAACGGAGGCGCUCAAAGGUUGGCUCAGAUUGGUUGGAAAUCAAUCGUAGAGUGUAAAGGUAAAAGCCAGCUUGACUGCGAGAGCUACAACUCGAGCAGGUAGGAAACUAGGACUUAGUGAUCCGGUGGUACCGCAUGGAAGGGCCAUCGCUCAACGGAUAAAAGCUACCCUGGGGAUAACAGGCUUAUCUCCCCCAAGAGUUCACAUCGACGGGGAGGUUUGGCACCUCGAUGUCGGCUCGUCGCAUCCUGGGGCUGUAGUCGGUCCCAAGGGUUGGGCUGUUCGCCCAUUAAAGCGGCACGCGAGCUGGGUUCAGAACGUCGUGAGACAGUUCGGUCCCUAUCCGUCGCGGGCGUAGGUAAUUUGAGAGGAUCUGUCCUUAGUACGAGAGGACCGGGAUGGACUUACCGCUGGUGUACCAGUUGUUCCGCCAGGAGCACGGCUGGAUAGCUAUGUAGGGAAGGGAUAAGCGCUGAAAGCAUCUAAGUGCGAAGCCCACCUCAAGAUGAGAUUACCCAUUCGUAAGAAUUAAGAGCCCAGAGAGAUGAUCUGGUAGAUAGGCUGGAAGUGGAAGAGUUGCGAGACUUGGAGCGGACCAGUACUAAUCGCUCGAGGACUUUACCAA
rnacentral:rRNA from 1 species